rnacentral:rRNA from 1 species
AUACGGAGGGUGCAAGCGUUACUCGGAAUCACUGGGCGUAAAGCGCGCGCAGGCGGCUAUUUAAGUUGGAUGUGAAAGCCUAUGGCUCAACCGUAGAACUGCAUCCAAAACUAUUUAGCUAGAGUGUGGGAGAGGAAGAUGGAAUUAGUUGUGUAGGGGUAAAAUCCGUAGAGAUAACUAGGAAUACCAAAAGCGAAGGCAAUCUUCUGGAACACUACUGACGCUGAGGCGCGAAAGCGUGGGGAGCAAACAGGAUUAGAAACCCCAGUAGUCC